rfam:Pristionchus pacificus strain PS312 contig4028, whole genome shotgun sequence.
UCUUCAUUUCACACACUCUCUCGCCUCUCUGACCGGUGAGAGAGUGCGUGAAAUGAAGAGA